AACUCCCUCUACAACUUUCCUAACUAGCAUAAACACAAAAUCCAAGCCUAGCUAGGGCAAUCGAACACAAACACCUAAAGAGCCCUAGGAUUUCAACUUUAAAUUUCUCCUUACCUAGCUGAAGAGGGAGUGAGCCUUUUGGAAGGAUUGAUGCACGGGAGGAGAGCUUCAAAACCAUAUAAGGCUUGCCCGGAUUAGUGGCCGGAGGAGGAAGUUCCGACGACCGGAAGUUCUGGGCAGUCAAACCUUUCGGGCGGCACCGCUCUCUCACGGUGGAGCUAGGGCUCCUCUCACCGGUCCAGGGAGGUUGCUGGGUUGGAGGUCGACCGAACGGGGCCGGUGCGGCGGCGGUUGGUGGCCGGACGACGGCGGAUGAGCAGCCGGAAGUUUCAGCUGCGGGAAAGCUCGAGGAUGAGGCCGGGAGGGAGAGAUGAAGAGAGAGGGAAAAGAAAUGGGUGUUUGGGCCUCACACCCACCCGGUCCAACACCAUAUAACAACCCACUCCAAAAUAAAACACCCCGAAAAAAAAUAAUACCCGAAUAAAAAUUACCUUUUACUAGCUAAAAUUUACCAUUUUUACCGUCGUCAUAUUUUCUUCCUACGAAUAAUCCUCCGCACAUAACCGUCCCCGAAACCCGUCUAGGGACCAAUUAAAACUAUAACCUCAAUGACGGAGACGGUAAAAUUCUUAUUAUAACCAAGCUAGUAAAUAAGGUAAAAAUUUACGGGUCGGGAUGUGACAAUUCUCCCCUCCUUAUAAAAAUUUCGUCCUCGAAAUUUACAUACCUGACAUUCGAAGAGAUAAGGAUACUGCUGCCUCAUUUGCUUCUCUGAUUCCCAAGUAGUUUCCUCUACUUGACGACUUCUCCAUAGAACUUUAACAAGAGGAAAAUGAUUUGCUUCUAAGCACUUGCUCCUUUGGGUCAAGAAUCUGAACCGGCUCCUUAUCAUAGGUCAAAACUUUUUCCAAUUAAUCGGCUGCUCUUGCAACACAUGAGAGAAAUCGGAAAUAAACUUGCGAAGCAUGGAUACAUGAAACACAUUAUGUAUCUUGGAUAACUCUGGAGGCAAAACUAAUCGAUACGCAAGAGAGCCAACUUGAUCUUAAAACCCAUAAGGACCAAUAAAUCUCGGACCAAGCUUUUCACAUCACCAAAACGUAUCACCCCUUUCCAAGGAGACAAUUUCGAAAAACACCCCAAAUACUCACUUGAAACUCAUGGUCCUUCCUGCGGACAUCUUUAUAACUCUUCUGGCUACUAUGACUUGCUUUGAGUGUAUCUCGGACUCCUUUAACCUUUUUAUUUGAAUCUUGUAUUAUUUUAGAUCUUAUCAAAGACUCUAAAUCCUUCGUUGAACUACCACUAACGUUUACACGUAAGUGGGUUCAGUGAUACCUGCUCUAGGGUACGAGUACCCGUAGGUAUGCACACUCUUUCCUGAGCAAUGGAAAUAGCUAACUCAAAUAAAGCGCAUAAAUUGCUAUCACCAUCAGGCUAAAAUCUCCUAACGUCACGCAACAACCUCGUCAUUACGCUGCUCACAGCUCGACAAUGAAGCCCACUUGCUAGGAAACUAAAGUUCACACGUUCCCACAUGCUCAUAGGGGUCAAAAUUAAGACCCGUUAAUUGAACAGAUUUUUUAAGGAUGCACACACUGCAGAACUGCAAUAAUCACUUCUAAUGCCGAGACAUUUCGUAGAGUCUUUCGCGGAGUCAAAGCUCUCGCAAGUCCACAAGACAACCUUGCUCUCCACCAACAUAUGAUAACCUCGAUUCUCGAAAUAACAUUAUGAAAAGAUCAAAACCACGCCACUUGGGUCUCUCCACCAAAACUAUUACAUUACCUUUUUGAACACCACAAACUAGCAGCUUAUGAGAAUUUCAACUCUCUUAUGAUUCUGCUAUCUCCACUACUACACUUUGUGGCUCACCAACCAACGAAAACCAUAUAAUCAAGAAAAGCAAAAAUUCAUGGCUAAACUCAGCUCAAAUUCCAGAAGAAAUAACUGAAAACACACGAAAGGCACGUCCUCUAACUUCGAGCUCAAAAGCUCCACAAAUCAGCGACGUCCACUAGAACCCGCUUCGAAAACGCACUAGAAACCAACAUUUAAAUAGUGAUUUCAACUAAUCACUCUGACACAAACGGAGGAACACAACCAAAAAGCAAAGACCUCCCAAAAUCAAACUUGGAUCAAUAAGUGGUCCCACCAUAAUACGAUCUCGAGAAAAGAUAUCGAUCGACUUACCAAUAUCUCUACUAACCACAACACGCAACUCUUAAUAAACCUUGACUCGAAAAGCUUCUUGAGUCAACAGGGGAAAACCCUUUUCCAUAAUGCUACAUCAUGAAAUAUACCUAUAACGAAGCAAACCAUCAUAAUCAACAUCACCAUGCAACUCUCAAACUACCACAUAGGAUUUACGGCAUCGAGACUCACCGCUUAAAUGAACUCCAGCUCACUUGGGAUCACCACUGGAUUUAUUCCGAAUCCAUGACUACGACACAACUACCAAUUUAUCAUUUACCUCGAAACUUCGACAAAAUAACCAAAAUCUCUACCCUUCAAAUCGAAGCGUUGAAUUCGCAUUCCAUAAUUUCAAGCUCUGACGAUACUACCCAAAAACUACAGUAGGAAUAAUUUAAAUAUUCUCACACACACCACAACCAAAACUUUGCUGCAUCUCACCAAAUUAUAAAUAAGGUGAGUGAACAUAUACUCCCAUUGAGGUGUCGUAGCUAGCCACCAAAUGCUAACGAAAAGAUGUUAGCAAACAACUCCGAUCGUGAAGUCGAGACUUAAAUCAACCACCCGAAAUGACACUGCUUAAAAAAAAAAAAUUACUUUGGACACCCACGCACUCUUGCUCCAUGAUCCAGUGGGUUUUAUUCCACUGCUACUACUUCCACCAACUCCACACAACUGCUAAAGAAUACCUAUGACAACACGUAAUAAAUUCACCAGGUGUUGUCAUAAAACUGGAGUGACCACAACCAUCCCGCUCUCACUCCACCAUUACUUUUCAAUUCCAUUACAUUAUCAUCUUCCCAAACACUCAACAAAUUUGGAAACCAAACUUCAACAUCUGGAAUUCCGAAAGAAACCAUAAUGGCCCCACGAUUAAAAUAAUAUAACUGACAUCUCACUCCCCGAUUCCAAACUCGCUUGAAACUCAAAACAUUUAGUGCCAUCAAUAAAAUUUUAAAAAUUCCCCGAUUGUGGCACAACAAGAAGUUGUCACAACGCACUGACGAAUGACUUUUGUAAAACCAACAAUCCAAUUCAUUCUAUUUAGAGCUUUAACAAACUUCAACUAACCCACAAUAGAGACCAAAAUCAUCAGAAAUCUUUCUUUUCAUCGACUAUUAUCAUCCAUCAUUUUCAAAAUAUAUUACCGCUGCCAUCUUAAUAAAAUGCUCUAAGGAUAGAAACAUAUCUGUAAUUAGCACUGCAGAAACCAGAAUAUAUACCACCACAACCAAAAUUAUCCCAACAUGCUCCCAAUUGAUUUAUGUUGCGGAUAAAAUUGUCGGCAAAAUGGCCUUCAAUCAAGACUCAACUAAAUCGACAUUUAGCUCUUUAUGCAGCAAUGCCUUACCACCCAAUCACUAGCACAAAUUUCCUAAAACCUUAUUUAACCCAAGACUAGGGUUCCCAACAACUCAUAUAGGUACCCCUUUGAAUUACCACUGGAUACCUCACCUCAUCAUUUCAACUAACUUUUACAGCAAUAGAAUACACCACUACUUCAAACUUUCCUUCCAACUCGACUCUUUCAGAAGUCACGUAACUCAAUACCAAAAUCUCCCAUCAAACAAUUUUUGACUCCAAUCUUGCCCACUAAAAAUGGACGACUCCACGACAUUAAUCAUCAACAUUUCACCCAACAGAUUUGCACAAGAUGCUCACCUUAGCAUCUUGAUCAUAACCCAAACAAUCAUUGAUCACAUGAAAGGAAUGCUAUCCAGCUUAUGAGUUCCCAACUGGAGUUCCCAACUCGCAAUUGAACUCUAACACUUUAAGAUAUCAACUCAAUAACCCUUGGAAAAGACGUCAACCAAACACCUAUUUCCUUAUUCAAAGCAUGAUGAUUACUUAAGAGGUCGGCAUACAGAGGCAUAGUCUUGAUGAUAUGGACAUUUAUGGCACAAUACUGUCCAUAAAAAGAUAGAAACAACUACAUCACAAACCUAAUCAACACAUGGUGUCUAAAGCAUAUAAUGCUGAUAGAUCCGCCGCGGUCAGACCAUCACUCUAUAGACACAAAGUAUGACCAAGAAUAUGAGGUAGUACUAAAAAGAGAAAGGAACUGAAUAACCUAGUGCUCUGAUACCAACUGUCAGAACCCACCCCGAAUUUCACCUUGAAACUCGAAGUAAAUCCUGCGGUGACCACCUCUAAGGAAAGUUUACCGAAAAAUUCGGCAUAACCUCCCUUGAAAAUGGACAACCCUUCCUAAUAAUACCUGCAUACACUUCAAAAGAAUCCAUUUAUAAUCCUCUACUCCUGGAGCCUUCGUGCUCCCCAAAUCACAACACCACCCAAAAUUUACUAAUCUAAACAAAUCUCCUAUCCAACCAUUUAUAGGUUCAGAGCAACUCUAACAGGAAUAAAGGAAACAAAAUAAAUUAACAAGCGGAAGCUAUAUGAUGACUAUGCCUCAUCUCCAGGUACGCUCGACCUCAACUAAGCUAACCUGCAAGUUGGGUAUUUUUAAAACGAAGGGCCCAGGGGAAAACAUUUGAAACACGUUAGAGUGAGUGGACAAAAUCAUAAAUUUAACGAAAAUAUUUAUGCUUUCCCAAUUACAUUUCCAUAGAAAAUAUGCUGCAUACGACAGCUCAAAAACGCUCAACACAAAAACUGGCAAUUUCAUGACUAGCUCCGGCCACUCUCCAAAGCUCAAUAAAAUACAGUCUCUCAGGCUAAAAUAAAAUAUGUAUGUAUUACACUCAUCAUAUCCCUUGUCUGAAUUUUCUAUUUGUCUUUGUUGUUUUAAGAAAAUUCACACAAGGCUACGACGCUUGCGUCUAACGCUCACGUCGCACCAUAAUGGCAUUUUACCUCAUUAUGGUGGAAAAGACGGUGUAUAAAUAUAUACGCGCAUAUCCCCUAUAUAAAUUAUUAUAUUUAUAUAGGGCUACGACGAUUGCGUCUAACGCUCACGUCACACCAUAAUAGAAUUUUUACCUCAGUAUGGUGGAAAAGCACGUAUAGCUAGCUAGCAUUCCUUCAUAUACAUAUUAUUCUCAUAAUCGUCCAAAUAUGGAUAUAUAUAUAUACAUACUCACCGAAAAUCUAAUUUUCAGUAACUCUUCAAAAAUAAUAAAAAUUGUCAAUUGCAAAAGAAGCAAUAAAUAUAUGGCUACACCGAAAAUCUCAUUUCCGAUAACUUUCCAAAUAGCGAAGUUAACAAAAUAAAAUAAGAGCAUUUACUUCCAAAGAUAACUUCGCGAAAAUAAACAAUUCCACAAAUUGAUAUUCAAUAAAAUCAUUCAUUUAAAAUGAAAUCACCGCAUGCUUAUAAUUUAAAACGAACGUCCACUCACAACUCUAGGCAUAAGCCCGACGAAAUCCAAAUCGCCACUCCAAUGAGGUUUCCUCGAACCCUGGCACAAAUAUAUAAUUAAAUUCCCAACUAAAAUCCAAUAUUUAAACAAAAUAGGCAAAAUUAAAUAUGAACCGCAACCACGCUUAUCCUUGCCCAAUUUCGCUUUUCCUAAAACGAAACGAUCCAACUUUAAUACCAUAAUCGGCAGCCAUAAUUACAACUUCCCCCAGAAAAUGACUUAAAUCCUACGGCCGGAUUCUACCUUAUUAAUCCGCCAAAAUUACCAAACUUCGGAAAUUCACAAACCUAUCCAAAACUCAUCCAAAAAUUCCAAAGUUCACAUCAUUAAACUCCCCUUAAUAUUUCACACUUAAAACUAUACAAAACUCCCAACCAGCGACCGCGCCAGAGGCGGCUCCGCGGGUAGCGGCGGCCGGAGGCCGAUUCCGGCAACCUCCAAUGCCCACCAAAUUUUAACAGCAUCUUCCUCUCAACUCCCUCUACAACUUUCCUAACUAGCACAAACACAAAAUCCAAGCCUAGCUAGGGCAAUCGAACACAAACACCUAAAGAGCCCUAUGAUUUCAACUUUAAAUUUCUCCUUACCUAGCUGAAGAGGGAGUGAGCCUUUUGGAAGGAUUGAUGCACGGGAGGAGAGCUUCAAAACCAUAUAAGGGUUGCCCGGAUUGGUGGCCGGAGGAGGAAGUUCCGACGACCGGAAGUUCUGGGCAGUCAAACCUUUCGGGCGGCACCGCUCUCUCACGGUGGAACUAGGGCUCCUCUCACCGGUCCAGGGAGGUUGCUGGGUUGGAGGUCGACCGAACGGGACCGUUGCGGCGACGGUUGGUGGCCGGACGACGGCGGAUGAGCGGCCAGAAGUUUCGGCUGCGGGAAAGCUCGGGGAUGAAGCCAGGAGGGAGAGAAGAAGAGAGAGGGAAAAGAAAUGGGUGUUUGGGCCUCACACCCACCCAGUCCAACACCAUAUAAAAACCCACUCCAAAAUAAAACACCCCAAAAAAAAAUAAUACCCGAAUAAAAGUUACCUUUUACUAGCUAAAAUUUACCAUUUUUACCGUCAUCAUAUUUUCUUCCUAUGAAUAAUCCUCCGCACAUAACCGUCCCCGAAACCCGUCUAGGGACCAAUUAAAACUAUAACCUCAAUGACGGAGACGGUAAAAUUCUUAUUAUAACCAAGCUAAUAAAUAAGGUAAAAAUUUACGGGUCGGGAUGUGACAGUUAUCCUGAUUUACAAAUACACAAUGACAAUAAAUAAAAGUUGCAGUAAAAUAACAAUGAACACCAAAAUGUUUUUUACUCGUAGAAACCCUGUAAACAGCAAGAAAAACUGUGUGUCCCUAACUCUUGAGGGACAAACCUUUCCACUAUGUAAAACUCACUUCUUACAAGAUUAUAGUCUAAGGAUACAUCAACGACUUGCUCUCUUGCCUAAACUACUCACUAGUCUAGAUCUAUAUUUUCUCUCUUGUGUCUGAGUAUCUCACUCCUUA
rnacentral:lncRNA from 1 species